rnacentral:rRNA from 1 species
AGUGAACGCUGGCGGCAGGCCUAAUCCAUGCAAGUCGAACGGCAGCACAGCAGAGCUUGCUCUGUGGGUGGCGAGUGGCGGACGGGUGAGGAAUACGUGGGAAUCUGCCCAGUCGUGGGGGAUAACGUAGGGAAACUUACGCUAAUACCGCAUGCGCCCUUUGGGGUACAGCCGGGGAUCUUCGGACCUGGCGCGAUUGGAUGAGCCCACGUCGGAUUAGCUAGUUGGAGGGGUAAAGGCCCACCAAGGCGACGAUCCGUAGCUGGUCUGACCGCAUGAUCAGCCACACGUGAGCGGAGACACGAUCAAGACGACUACGGAAGCCAGCAGUAGGGAAUCUUGAACAAUGGGCGCAAGCCUGAUCCAGCCAUGCGGCGUGAGUGAAGAAGGCCCUCGGGUUGCAAAGCUCUUUUGUUGGGGAAGAAAAGCCUUGGGUUAAUACCCUGAGGUUCUGACGGUACCCAAAGAAUAAGCACCGGCUAACUUCGUGCCAGCAGCCGCAGUAA